AUGAACGCUAGCUACAGGCUUAACACAUGCAAGUCGAGGGGCAGCAUGGUCUUAGCUUGCUAAGGCCGAUGGCGACCGGCGCACGGGUGAGUAACACGUAUCCAACCUGCCGUCUACUCUUGGACAGCCUUCUGAAAGGAAGAUUAAUACAAGAUGGCAUCAUGAGUCCACAUGUUCACAUGAUUAAAGGUAUUCCGGUAGACGAUGGGGAUGCGUUCCAUUAGAUAGUAGGCGGGGUAACGGCCCACCUAGUCUUCGAUGGAUAGGGGUUCUGAGAGGAAGGUCCCCCACAUUGGAACUGAGACACGGUCCAAACUCCUACGGGAGGCAGCAGUGAGGAAUAUUGGUCAAUGGGCGAGAGCCUGAACCAGCCAAGUAGCGUGAAGGAUGACUGCCCUAUGGGUUGUAAACUUCUUUUAUAAAGGAAUAAAGUCGGGUAUGGAUACCCGUUUGCAUGUACUUUAUGAAUAAGGAUCGGCUAACUCCGUGCCAGCAGCCGCGGUAAUACGGAGGAUCCGAGCGUUAUCCGGAUUUAUUGGGUUUAAAGGGAGCGUAGAUGGAUGUUUAAGUCAGUUGUGAAAGUUUGCGGCUCAACCGUAAAAUUGCAGUUGAUACUGGAUAUCUUGAGUGCAGUUGAGGCAGGCGGAAUUCGUGGUGUAGCGGUGAAAUGCUUAGAUAUCACGAAGAACUCCGAUUGCGAAGGCAGCCUGCUAAGCUGCAACUGACAUUGAGGCUCGAAAGUGUGGGUAUCAAACAGGAUUAGAUACCCUGGUAGUCCACACGGUAAACGAUGAAUACUCGCUGUUUGCGAUAUACAGUAAGCGGCCAAGCGAAAGCGUUAAGUAUUCCACCUGGGGAGUACGCCGGCAACGGUGAAACUCAAAGGAAUUGACGGGGGCCCGCACAAGCGGAGGAACAUGUGGUUUAAUUCGAUGAUACGCGAGGAACCUUACCCGGGCUUAAAUUGCAGAUGAAUUACGGUGAAAGCCGUAAGCCGCAAGGCAUCUGUGAAGGUGCUGCAUGGUUGUCGUCAGCUCGUGCCGUGAGGUGUCGGCUUAAGUGCCAUAACGAGCGCAACCCUUGUUGUCAGUUACUAACAGGUUCCGCUGAGGACUCUGACAAGACUGCCAUCGUAAGAUGUGAGGAAGGUGGGGAUGACGUCAAAUCAGCACGGCCCUUACGUCCGGGGCUACACACGUGUUACAAUGGGGGGUACAGAGGGCCGCUACCACGCGAGUGGAUGCCAAUCCCAAAAACCUCUCUCAGUUCGGACUGGAGUCUGCAACCCGACUCCACGAAGCUGGAUUCGCUAGUAAUCGCGCAUCAGCCACGGCGCGGUGAAUACGUUCCCGGGCCUUGUACACACCGCCCGUCAAGCCAUGGGAGCCGGGGGUACCUGAAGUGCGUAACCGCGAGGAGCGCCCUAGGGUAAAACUGGUGACUGGGGCU
rnacentral:rRNA from 1 species